rnacentral:rRNA from 1 species
GAUCAUGGCUCAGGAUGAACGCUGGCGGCGUGCCUAACACAUGCAAGUCGAACGAAGCAAUCAGAAUGAAAUUUUCGGAUGGAUUUCUGGUUGACUGAGUGGCGGACGGGUGAGUAACGCGUGGAUAACCUGCCUCACACUGGGGGAUAACAGUUAGAAAUGGCUGCUAAUACCGCAUAAGCGCACAGUACCGCAUGGUACGGUGUGAAAAACUCCGGUGGU